UUUCCUCUGUUGAGAAGGA
rnacentral:snRNA from 1 species